CAACACCCGAAGUCGGUGAGGUAACCCGCAAGGGAGCCAGCCGCCGAAGGUGGGGCAAGUGAUUGGGGUGAAGUCGUAACAAGGUAGCCGUACCGGAAGGUGCGGCUGGAUCACCUCCUUUCUAAGGA
rnacentral:rRNA from 1 species